GCUUGCAACUGAGCAGGGAGGAGAGUGUGGACAGGGCCACCUCCGGGAAACUUGCACCUGUUUCCCUAGCUAAGGGAAGACUCCAUUAGGUCCCGGCUGAAUGGGGAAGCCUCAAUUUCACAACCAAAUUGCAGACACAGACUGUUGGGUUUUCAAGACUAAUCACUUCCCCAGAGCUGUGUGUUGUCAGUUUCCCCUCCAGACCCCAAGUGGACAUUCGUCUCUCGCUGUGGCUGUGUUGACCGACGGCCCAGCUUCUUCCGAUGGUGCUCCCUGGCAGAGUUCCUCUGACUUCUAAGGCCAACGACUGUUUAUUGAGCUCUUUGCUGUCCCACACAGAAGCCAGGAUCCUCGUGUGGCAAAGGAAGCUUUGGAACGCUGCUAGUGUGAAAUGAGACUGCGGUCUGGAAACCUGGCAAGCCCUUGCCUUGGUGAGGUGUCCUAGCACUUCCACGUGGCACCCAGAAUUCAGAAAUGGAGAGCUGCACCAAUGCCACCGAGCAAGGAGCGAGGCACCUGUCCCCCGAGCGCCCCGCCCCUGCCACACCAUCCACAGCUUAUGGGAAAAACGGAGUGGUUGAAGAUUCAAAGCCUUCGUGGGGAAUCUGAUGAAAUGCUGAACCCUCGUUCCUCAAAAUACACGCUGGAAAAUAGUACCUCCACGGCGUCCCCAAAGAUCCACGUCUGUCUUGAGACCCUCCGCGAUGGCCCCACGCAGAUGUCAUGCCUACGUUGCAAAGCAGUGAGAAUCACAUGGAGAAUGAUUUUUUUUUUUUUUCAAAUGCCUCCUAGGAACAAAUUGGUAACCUUGCUCACCUCUCUUUUGCCUCAAGUCUCUUUUUUUUUUUUUUUUCCCUUGGUCACACCUGCGCAUGGAACCCGCGCCACAGCAACGACCUGAGCUGCUGCAGUGACAGUGCUGGAUCCUUCACCUGCUGCCCACAAGAGCUCUCUAGUCUCCACCCUUACAACUCGCUUUCCCAAGCUUCUGGCAUUUUCUUACAUUAAAGUUACAAAUCAGCUGGAUGGGCGUUCCAGAUGCAACAGCCAUUCAGCCACGUCUGUGGCAGAAUUUCACCUCCCCCAUCCUAAGCAGGCCUUUAAAACAAGGCAUCUUACCUUAUCAGGAAAAGUAUCAUCCGUGCUUCCUUAAAUGCCGGGACCGUGAAGUCAGUGACUCCCGGCAGCUCUGUCCACCCCCGCUCUUCUCAUGGUUCACACACCAACCUGUGUGCCUGCUCCUCUGCCCUGGGUAGCAUAUUGGGUUCUGGUUCUCUUCUCUGUAACCGUCUCUUUGGAACAGAGGGUCCGAGUCAGCUUUUCAUCCAUGAUUUGAUGACUCUUCUUCUACAUCUGAGUUAACUUCUACUGUAGUUAACUCCUUUUUUUUUUUU